GAUGAAGAACGUAGCGAAAUGCGAUAAGUAAUGUGAAUUGCAGAAUUUAGUGAAUCAUCGAAUCUUUGAACGCAUAUUGCGCCCGCUAGCACUCUGGCGGGCAUGCCUGUUCGAGCGUCAUUAAAUAACCCUCAAGCAUAGCUUGGUGUUGGGCUUUUUUACGUCCUUGACUGGGAUGGGCCUAAAAAUUAGUGGCGAUGGCUUUUUUACUUUCAAGCGUAGUAAAUCUCGUCUUGCUAAAGAGGAAAAAGAUUUUUUUUCUGCCAAAAAUUUUAACAUUUAAAGUUGACCUCGGAUCAGGUAGGAUUACCCGCUGAACUUAAGCAUAUCAAUAAGCGGAGGA
rnacentral:misc_RNA from 1 species